rnacentral:misc_RNA from 1 species
GCAAACUUGGUCAUUUAGAGGAAGUAAAAGUCGUAACAAGGUUUCCGUAGGUGAACCUGCGGAAGGAUCAUUAAUGAAUUUGGUCGGACUGUGCUGGCUGGUAACAGUAUGUGCACGUCUGCUUCAUCCAAUACAUCUGUGAACUUUUGACCUCGCCUCACGUAUUGCCUUAAUGCUUGCGUGAAGAGGUAUUACAUACCCUUGUAAUGUAUGUGACAAAUUGUAGAAGACCUUUAUGGUCGAAUAAUAACAACUUUCAACAACGGAUCUCUUGGCUCUCGCAUCGAUGAAGAACGCAGC